AGAGUUUGAUCCUGGCUCAGGAUCAACGCUGGCGGCGUGCCUAAUGCAUGCAAGUCGCACGCACGACCUUCGGGUCGCGAGUGGCGAACGGCUGAGGAACACGUACGAACCUGCCCCCCAGUGGGGAAUAACGACACGAAAGUGGCGCUAAUACCGCGUACGCUCGCAAGAGGAAAGCAGCAAUGCGCUGGGGGAGGGGCGUGCGGCCCAUCAGGUUGUUGGCGGGGUAAUGGCCCACCAUGCCGGUGACGGGUCGCUGGUCUGUGAGGAUGACCAGCCAGACUGGGACUGCGACACGGCCCAGACACCUACGGGUGGCAGCAGCAAGGAAUCUUCGGCAAUGGGCGCAAGCCUGACCGAGCAACGCCGCGUGGAGGACGACGGCCUUCGGGUUGUAAACUCCUUUUCUGUGGGAUGAAUACGGACAGUACCGCAGGAAUAAGCCCCGGCUAACUCUGUGCCAGCAGCCGCGGUAAUACAGAGGGGGCAAGCGUUGUCCGGACUUACUGGGCGUACAGCGCGCGCAGGUGGUCGGCUAAGUUCGUGGUGACAGCGUGCGGCUCAACCGCACACGGUCCAUGGAGACUGGUCGACUAGAGGCAUCGAGAGGGAUACGGAAUACCCGGUGGAGCGGUGAAAUGCGUAGAGAUCGGGUGGAACACCAGCGGCGAAGGCGGUAUCCUGGCGAUGACCUGACACUGAGGCGCGACAGCGUGGGGAGCAAACGGGAUUAGAUACCCCCGUAGUCC
rnacentral:rRNA from 1 species